UUGCCUCUUGUGGGCAUAUAGUGGUUCAGUUCGAAACUGUCCCCUAAAACAUCUAAGGGGACGGUUAUCACGUAUUGCUAGUGAGUGUUAUUGUUACAUCUUAAAACUGUUCCUUAUUAGAUUAUAGGGAACAAUUAUACACUGUUGCGAAAACAAAACUGGCAACACGAGUCAAAUGUUGCCUGUCCAAGUUUUAGAUAACAGUUUACACAUGUUGUAUAAAAAAGUGUUGCCAGAUGCAACAAAUGUUGUAGUG
rnacentral:lncRNA from 1 species